rnacentral:snoRNA from 1 species
CCACUUGAUGAAGAUGAGGUAGUCUCGCAUAUCUUGGAAGGUCUUGAUGCAGAUUACAAUCCUUUCGUCUCUGCCAUAUCCAUGCGUGUGGAUCAAGG